CUAAUGGAAUAUCUUCUUCUGAAAUUUUAUGUUCCAGCAUGACAAAGAAGUGCUUAUUCCCUAGAUAAACAUCAUCCUGUGUAGAGAGCUAUUCUCUUUGAACUUGUGUGAGCUGACUAAAGCUUUGUCACAAGUCUCUCUGGAGACAACUGACACUUCAGGCUGCUGGCAGAAGAACCCUUGAGGGGAUUUCUGCAAUCACUUCAACUGCACCAAAAAAAUCAGGUGUUCAUAGUUUUCCUUGAUGAUGGGCUGUGAAAGUUUGAAAAGCAAACAGUUCUGGAAACCUCUUUGGAAGAGAAAUGUGGGAGGACUCAAACACUCCUCCCUCCAAUAGGAAGCUACCAGCAGCUAAUGACCAUCUAGAGGACAACAUGUGAAGUAUGACAACCAUCUCUACACUGGAAAAUUACUUGGAGCUUCAGUGAAAAAUCCUGUAAGGAGAACCACUAGGACCGGCAGGACCAGGAAGUCCAACGGGACCCUGUACUCCAUCACGCCCAGCGGGACCUUGAGGACCUUUUUCACCCUGGUUUUCAAGAAAAAGAAGUGAUCCACCAUUAUCACAGGAGAGUAAUGGAGAUUUCAGUACAGGAAGUCGUACUACCACUAAAAAAUAUUAGGAAAAGAGAAACAGAAAGGAAACUGUAACAGGAAGAGAAUGCAUCAGAAAAUGAUACUAAAUAAUAACGGAAGCCAAUGACAAAUACACGUCUACACUAAUACAGAGUGGCUGGGUACAAAGUUUUAAUGAAAGAAUGAUUUCACAGACUUUUAUAUCCAUUCCCUGCUGUGAUAAUAACAGGCUUAACCCUGCCUGGGUGUUACAGGUUAGGACAAUAAACAUUUUACUAUUUACUUAAUUGUAAAUGUAAAAGGACUAGAUCAGGUAUUCUGAGGAUAUGUUUAACAGGCAAAUACUGGAGUGGGUAAGAGCAACAUCCUGAAAUGAAAUGUCUGUGCUGUAAUAGUUUUAUGUGACUCUGUGAUUACUUACAGGAGCACCCUUCUCUCCUGCAGGGCCUGGAGGACCCUGAGGUCCAGGACGACCUGGUAGACCAAUUGGCCCAGCAGUGCCCGCUGCUCCACGUUCCCCUGGUGAACCCUGGAAAGAAAGAAGACAGUGCAAGCUAAUUCGAUACAAGCCUGAUAACUGCUGGUGGUUUUCAUGACUUGGGUCAACAGAGAAGACAAUCUAUUAUUCACUGAGAUUCCAUCUGGUAGAAGGAUACGCAUUCAGCAUGUGUGCAAGUAAGAAGAGGAACUGGUAGAGCAGCUUGGUCGGCACCUGGUGUGCAGUCAAGUAAACCCACCACAACAGCAUGAAUCCACUACUGACUAUCCAUAGAUUUUCCACUAUGGAAGACCUCCUU